rnacentral:rRNA from 1 species
AUGAACGCUGGCGGCGUGCUUAACACAUGCAAGUCGAACGAAGCAUUUGCGACAGAUUUUUUCGGAAUGAAGUUGCUUAUGACUGAGUGGCGGACGGGUGAGUAACGCGUGGGUAACCUGCCUUGUACUGGGGGAUAGCAGCUGGAAACGGCUGGUAAUACCGCAUAAGCGCACAAUGUUGCAUGACAUGGUGUGAAAAACUCCGGUGGUAUAAGAUGGACCCGCGUCUGAUUAGCUAGUUGGUGAGAUAACAGCCCACCAAGGCGACGAUCAGUAGCCGACCUGAGAGGGUGACCGGCCACAUUGGGACUGAGACACGGCCCAGACUCCUACGGGAGGCAGCAGUGGGGAAUAUUGCACAAUGGAGGAAACUCUGAUGCAGCGACGCCGCGUGAGUGAAGAAGUAAUUCGUUAUGUAAAGCUCUAUCAGCAGGGAAGAUAGUGACGGUACCUGACUAAGAAGCUCCGGCUAAAUACGUG